CACAGGGCACUCAGCAGUGUGCGUUCGCAGUACAGUGUGAGGGAUGAGGACUAGAAGGAGCUUUGGGGCAGCCUAGAAAAGAAGCCCGGUGGCUCUUGGCGGCAGUGGCGCGGGCCUAGGACCCAGACCUGGUGCAGGAGCACUGGAGCACUGGGGCCAGAGGGCGGGAGGGGAGGAUAGCGCAGCAUCUGCCUCGGAUCCCGUUGUUCACCUCGAAGUUCCGCCCGGAUCCUGGUGGCCAGCAGGGGUGUCGAUGCACUGGCUACGAGUUCGGGUGUUUGAAAAUGAUUUUGCAUGUGACCAAUCUGACCAAACAAGACGAAAAAUGAGUGGAUGUGGACAAUACAAACAGGAAAAAUGCCCUACAUGAAAGUGGACCAGAGAUGGAGGGGAUUCACUGGUACCUAGGUUGUAAACUGAUUGAUCUUUUUCAAAUCCUGGAUUGGAUUCUGCUCUGAUACAUGGGAGAAGCAAGUCCCAGAUACAGACAAGGGUGGCAGCUCAGCUCUCACGAGUGUUGUGAGGAUCAGCAGAGCCUGAGACAUGAAGAGGCUCCAUCUGUGUCAUUUCUGGGCCUGAUUAAGAGAUGGGCUUGAGAGACUUGUGGAAGGAAGGGCUACUCAGAAGCCGAAAAGGAAUCCCUUAAGCCCUCAGCAGGCAUCAGAAGCUACAGGGCAUCCUUGGUUGACGGUACAUGAGCCCAGACUGAGAGGAGACAGGAAGAGCGCUGCUUGUCCUGGAUCCUGGACUCACCACACUCAGGAGUGAGGGUGGUAAUCCCACUAGAGGCUGAGCCUGAGCACUGGGCACUGAGGACAUCUGGGGCCCGGUGUGAGUCCUGCCUCCCAUGAGACUGCCUGGAGACAUGGGGCCACUUCUAAGCCCGACAAGCCCACCUGACUUCUGUCUCUGUGAGUUUCCUCCCCCUGGAUGCUUCAUACGAACGCAGUCACAGAAAACGUGAUCUUUUCUCUCUGGCUUCUGUCACUUAGCUGCAGAAUGUUGAUGUUCAUUCACUCUGUUGCUGGUGUCAGGACUUUGUUUUUAUGGCUUAAAAAACCCUCUUGGGUUAUGAAGACACUAGAUUUGUUUAUAUGAGUGGGAUCCAGCAUGAAGUGGUGUGUAGAUGUGAACCCAAACCAGCCUCAUGUAAUAGUGGUGAGAACAGAAGGACAGUUAAGGGGAGUCAGUGAGGAUGAGGAGGGACAGCCCCACAGUGGGAGGGAGGAGGCGUCUCCACAGCAACACAGCUCACAUUUUCUGUCCCCAAACCUCAUGUGCCACCUCUGCUUCCCUGGACACAUCAGCAGAAAGUUUUUCUACCUGUGGUCCAGCUGUCCCUCAUCACCUCCUGGGUCAUCAGAUGGGCUCCAUGGCUCCCCCCACUCUGAACGGUGCCCUGUCCCCUCUGUGUUCAUGUCCUGGCUGCAGCCUGAGCCAUUCUCUCGCUGUCCCAAGCCUGAAACAGCAGCACCCCGAGGACCACCAGGACCAAUCCAGCCAUGAACAUGUGGACCAGGUCUCCACUGUGUAGUUUUGGGUUUGGGAGGUUGCAAAAUGUGGAGACAGAGGUCAGCAUGGUCAGGCAGCAAACUCCUGGACUCUGGUGUCCCCCCAGGCUCUCCCCUCCCCUUGAUGUCAGUGUCACUGGGAUGUCUGAAUCCAGCUCUGGCUCCCAGCUGCCAUGACGAGAGUGACCUGUGCCCAAGAGCUCAGGAUCAGUGAAAAAAUGGUCUCAGUUCAGGAACAAUUUAGAGCUGUGCGUUCUGUGUUGAGUGUGAGACUAAAGACCCAGAAGCUUAGUGUUGUGUAGCUGAGAGAUCCCAUGUUUUCCACCUGUGGGGGCCCAGGUCCAUGGAGGAGGGGUGGUGUCGAGGGCUCCUGAGUGGCAGGUGCACAAAGGGGUGAAAGUCUGGGGCAGGUCUCCUUCACCCCACUCUCUGGGGUCUGCUGUUUAAUCGUCACCUGGAAAUUUUCAUCUGUUCAUUGUUUUAUUAAUUCAUUUUAUAUGAUGACAAAACUACCAUGGGAGAUAUAAUUACUAGAUUAGAUAUAUGUGCAUGUGGAUGAAUAUUUGUAGAUAUAUACAUUUAAUAUCAAUAUACAAGUAAAUGCAGAGUAGGGCAAAAGUAGGCUUACAGUUGUGAAUUCAUGAAACACAGAAUUAUUUACUGUGUUAUAUGUAUUAAUUCUUGCAUUAUUUUUUGUGCAACUUUAAUCCUACUUUGGCCCAUACCUUGUA